UACGAAGGGGGCUAGCGUUGCUCGGAAUUAUUGGGCGUAAAGCGCACGUAGGCGGUUCGUUAAGUCGGAUGUGAAAGCCCUCGGCUGAACUGAGGAAGUGCACCCGAAACUGGCGAGCUUGAGUACGAAAGAGGAUCGCGGAAUUCCCGGUGUAGAGGUGAAAUUCGUAGAUAUCGGGAGGAACACCAGUGGCGAAGGCGGUUGCCUGGGGCUUUGCUGACGCUGAUGCGCGAAAGCGUGGGGAGCGAGCCGG
rnacentral:rRNA from 1 species